UGAAUGAAGGAAAAAGAAUUCAGCUUACAUGGCAUUACCCUAAGGUAAAUAAAUAAUUAUUUAACAACUUCCUAUUAAUAUUAUUGGUGAAUGUGUAUGAUAUUUUCGCAUUUUUUGUAUGUAGGGUCCGAAACAAGUUGGGGAUUUUGAAUGUGGAUAUUUUGUAAUGCGGUUCAUGAGACAUUUCAUGAAAGAUCCUUCUAAAUCCCUAGAGGAGAAGGUGACUAAUAUUUUAUCAUUUUUUUCGUUCCAUAUAUUUCUAGGUUAAUUUAAAUUAAACUAUUGUUCAUUUUCUUUCCCAUUGACUUGUUUAGAUGACAGAGCUAAAAAUGAAGGCGACAUACACCAAAGCUGAACUGAAUGAAGUUCGUCUUGAGUUUAUCAAUUACAUUGAACGAUUUCUAUAAUGUUAAAGGUAUGUUGAUUAAUAUUACCUAUACAUUACACCAUUAACAUCAUCACUUAUAAU
rnacentral:lncRNA from 1 species